GGCCUCUUGGUCAAUCGGUUAAGACAUCGCCCUUUCACGGCGGAGUGAGGGGUUCGACUCCCCUAGAGGCUACCA
rnacentral:tRNA from 1 species